UUCGUAUCAACAAAUCUGUGUACGAGUUAAUAACGCACCCUGGGUUCCCUGCAUUUUCAGUGACAGAGAACCAGAUAUAAGAAUGCAGGGAAACAAGCCUUGUUACAAGGUUUGAGGGUCUCUGCUAGAAUCAUGUGGACCCCAGUGUAACACAUCUAUGGAAAGAGAGAAAAUCUCAGCUCAAGGGUCAACAUGUCUUUAUUCCAUGAAAGAAUGUACAUAUGCCAGAAUCAUAUGGACCGCAGACUGGCCUUGGUGAUUCCGUUAAGAAAAAAGAGGAAAAAUCAGUGCUUGUGCUCAUUGGACAAAGAUCAUUUUCUUGAGAUAGGUGGAACCAACAGUCAAAUCCAGACACCUUUAAGAAAAGUAAAAAUCUGACUCAGGUAAGAAAGAAAUUCAGGAGUUCUUAAAUUGCCCUCAGAGUUCUUGGAUUGCAUCAAACUGCUAAAAGACCUCAACAAAAACAGUGUCUUGAAAAAAAAAAUGAAAAUAUUCAGUGAAAAAAAAAUUAUGAGAGAAAAAGCCACUAAAAAUCUUCAAGCCUUUGAGCUGAAAUCUGGAAGUCAAUCUGUGGACUUUACUGGUAUGUCUUACUAAUUAAGUCAUCAUUUGUGUAUAAUAAAUACACUAAACUGUAAACACUUGUUAAAAUGUAUAUAAUUUUUAGAUAUAAUUUGUAGCUCACAGACAUCAAUAGUUUCAUGUAAUUUAAGUAAUAAUGAAAAUUUCCUGUUGUCUGGCUAGAUUAGAAAUUAUAUAUUAUUGUCCAAUUUUGGAUAUUGUGAAAUAAUUCAUUUAGUAAAAUUGGGUAUGCAUACAUGUGUGUACACUUACAUGUAAAUUAAUUGUUAUAGCAAAUUUAAUCUAUCAUUAAGUUGAAUGUUGACUAAUGUUUUUCAUCAAAAUUGUUUACACUGAAUUGU